rnacentral:lncRNA from 1 species
GUUGGAGGGAGAUUGGAGCCAAGGGCAGCUGGGGAGAAAUAGGGGCCCUGAUGCAAACAGUGGGGAGCCGGCCAGGGCCUGGAGCCCUGGUUGAGAGGACAUAGUCAGGCUUAGAAGCUCCCAGUCACCGGACGUGUAGAGGAGCCUUUCUGUGGACCAAGGGGACUUCAGUAAAACAAGGACAACAAUGCCCAUGCCUCAUGUGAUCAUGGGCUGUUGGAGGAGUGACAGGAUGAUACGAUGGACAGACCCUAUAAAACCGUGCCAGUGUUGAUGAUGAAACAGAGGAUCAGAGAGGUGAUGCGACUUGCCCAAGUGAUAACAGAACAGAUUCACAGGCUGCCUCCUCGGCUCCCAUCAAUUUUUCCCUUCAAGUUGCUCUCACGUCCAGAUUUCAGAAAUAGUCUAUGAAUGGAGAGAUACAGCACAGCCUGUGAAAAGAAAGACUGGACCCAGAAGAUUUAAAUUUAAUUGAACUUAAUUAAAUUUAGAGUUUUGAAAAGAAAUAAGAAAAAUGACUUCUAGAAGAAUAGAAGCCUUUCAGAAAACAGGGGUUGAGCCAA